rnacentral:lncRNA from 1 species
CCCCAGCCACUGCACGACCCCCACCAACGGCACAGUGAAGCUGAGCGCCCCCUCUCCAUCCUUCUGGAGGUAAGGAGUUUCGUGAGCAAAACAGGGCGGCCGAGUCUGCAAACACAUCCCCCCCUCUUCCCAACACUGCAGUACUCCUAAAGAUGCCCUAUUCCAAUUCUGCAAAAAGAAGUUAACUGUCUCCAGAACCUGCAUGGAAGAAGGCUGUGUAUGAUGGCAUUAUGUGCCCCUCCCCCACAAAUAUGCUCCCAAAAUAAAUACCAUGUAACUUUAAAACUUUUAAAUUAAAAACCACUUGGUUAUGCUUGUCUGAGGGUAGCUUUUGGUUUUCUAUUAUGCUUAGAUAUUUAUUAU